rnacentral:rRNA from 1 species
GACGAACGCUGGCGGCGUGCCUAAUACAUGCAAGUCGAGCGCAGGAAAUCGACGGAACCCUUCGGGGGGAAGUCGACGGAAUGAGCGGCGGACGGGUGAGUAACACGUAAAGAACCUGCCCUCAGGUCUGGGAUAACCACGAGAAAUCGGGGCUAAUACCGGAUGGGUCAUCGGACCGCAUGGUCCGAGGAUGAAAGGCGCUUCGGCGUCGCCUGGGGAUGGCUUUGCGGUGCAUUAGCUAGUUGGUGGGGUAAUGGCCCACCAAGGCGACGAUGAAUAGCCGACCUGAGAGGGGGAUCGGCCACACUGGGACUGAGACACGGCCCAGACUCCUACGGGAGGCAGCAGUAGGGAAUCUUCCACAAUGGACGAAAGUCUGAUGGAGCAACGCCGCGUGAACGAUGAAGGCCUUCGGGUCGUAAAGUUCUGUUGUAAGGGAAGAACAAGUGCCGCAGGCAAUGGCGGCACCUUGACGGUACCUUGCGAGAAAGCCACGGCUAACUACGUGCCAGCCGCCGCGGUAA